AUUGCACGCUGGCGGCAGGCCUAACACAUGCAAGUCGGGCGAGCGGAGGACGGGUGAGUAAUGUAUGGGGAUCUGCCUGAUGGCGGGGGAUAACUACUGGAAACGGUAGCUAAUACCGCAUACCAUCAGAUGAACCCAUAUGGGAUUAGCUAGUAGGUAAGGUAACGGCUUACCUAGGCGACGAUCCCUAGCUGGUCUGAGAGGAUGAUCAGCCACACUGUGACUGAGACACGGCCAAGACUCCUACGGUAGGCAGCAGUGGGGAAUAUUGCACAAUGGGCGCAAGCUGGAUGCAGCCAGGCCGCGGGUAUGAAGAAGGCCUCCGGGGUGUAAAGUACUUUCAGUCGGGAGGCGUUACCGACAGAAGAAGCACUGGCUAACUCCGUGCCAGCAGCCGCGGUAAUAC
rnacentral:rRNA from 1 species